rnacentral:tRNA from 1 species
GCCUGGAUGGCUCAGUCAGUUAAGCAUCUGACUUCAGUUCAGGUCAUGACCUUGAGGUUCGUGAGUUCGAGUCCCACAUCAGGCU